rnacentral:rRNA from 1 species
AUUGAACGCUGGCGGCAUGCCUUACACAUGCAAGUCGAACGGUAACAGAUCUUCGGAUGCUGACGAGUGGCGAACGGGUGAGUAAUACAUCGGAACGUGCCCGAUCGUGGGGGAUAACGAAGCGAAAGCUUUGCUAAUACCGCAUACGAUCUACGGAUGAAAGCAGGGGACCGCAAGGCCUUGCGCGAACGGAGCGGCCGAUGGCAGAUUAGGUAGUUGGUGGGAUAAAAGCUUACCAAGCCGACGAUCUGUAGCUGGUCUGAGAGGACGACCAGCCACACUGGGACUGAGACACGGCCCAGACUCCUACGGGAGGCAGCAGUGGGGAAUUUUGGACAAUGGGCGAAAGCCUGAUCCAGCCAUGCCGCGUGCAGGAUGAAGGCCUUCGGGUUGUAAACUGCUUUCGUACGGAACGAAAAGACUCUGGUUAAUACCUGGGGUCCAUGACGGUACCGUAAGAAUAAGCACCGGCUAACUACGUGCCAGCCGCCGCCGUAAUAC